UACGUAGGGCGCAAGCGUUAUCCGGAAUUAUUGGGCGUAAAGAGCUCGUAGGCGGUUUGUCGCGUCUGCCGUGAAAGUCCGGGGCUCAACUCCGGAUCUGCGGUGGGUACGGGCAGACUAGAGUGAUGUAGGGGAGACUGGAAUUCCUGGUGUAGCGGUGAAAUGCGCAGAUAUCAGGAGGAACACCGAGUGGCGAAGGCAGGUCUCUGGGCAUUAACUGACGCUGAGGAGCGAAAGCAUGGGGAGCGAACAGG
rnacentral:rRNA from 1 species